GGGCCCAUAGCUCAAUGGUAGAGCAUCCGGCUCAUAACCGGCUGGCUCCAGGUUCGAAUCCUGGUGGGCCCA
rnacentral:tRNA from 1 species